GGGGGCGUCCACACCUGCUUCACCGUGGCUCCGCCCUGACGCCCCUCCGCGCACGCCCUGCCUCUGUGACCCCGCGUCGCCCCGCCCCUAUGACAAUCUCGCUCUACGCUCCUCCAAGGAAACCCUAGCCGAUGUCUUCGACCACCUCAAGCCCCAUACCGUGGCUCCGCCGCCGCCUCCGUGACCCUCGCGACCGCGCCAUCCUCGCCCGCGCAUGCCCGCUGACCGCGCCUCCCUCCGCGCCAUCCUCAACCGACGCCGCCCCCUCUUGACUCUUCUCUCUCUCUCUGCUCCUACCUCCUUGAGGAGCAAUCCGCUGAUGCAUCUUCUCCCAGGACAACCUUGGACGACGGUGACCAUGCGGCUGGGGGAUCGUGGGUAGGGGAGGACGGACGCGGGCGAGGAUGGCACGGUCAGGCGUUGAGGUCUUGGAAGAACAACCGUGUAGAUAUCCAUAAAGAGAAACGUUUUGUUUCUUCUGUAGGCUAUCUACUCCAUGGGCAUUUCCUUGUUUACUAAUGAAGAAAUCUGAUGAUACGAGUGUGUCAACUUUGUUGAGCAUAUAAUCUUCAGAAUGCUUUACCACUCUAUGCAGCAUAGGAAAGCGUCUCGCUGGUGAUCAACAGUAAUACGAGCCAUAAACCGUAGCAAGAUGGUGAUUGACGCCGUACUCCCAGGAUACAGAAGAUCAUCGACGAGGCAAGAUACUCGGUGGAGUACAUUUCAGAAGCUAUUUAUGUUAGUUGGUCCAACAACAUCGCUCGGACCAGAGAAAAAAUGUCUGUGUUUUUAUGGACGCCCUUUCAGGUAAUCAGCCAAUUAUAGUAUGUGGUCCUGGAGUUCAUAGUUUUGCUACUUUUCUGGCGCGACGAUGUGGCGGAGGCGAUGACAGGGCCUAGAACGGAUUGGUCGUCCUGCUCUGUGUCGGAAGUUAUGUGAAUUUUCUGCCUCCUAGCACUAGACAGAUGAUUUUCUUCAUUUUGCGAACUCCUUGCUCUUGCUUUCUACUGUUGUUUGUUUAUUUUAGUGCAGCAACGGAGCCUAUGAAGAAGCCCUAUUUUCUGCUGCUGUUUGCCAACUCCAAGCAGAUCGCUCGCUGAAGAAGCCCACCCUCCUCGCUAUAGAAGAACCGUGAAAUUCUGUUUUGUUGCCAUAGUGGAAAUUGCUGUUGCAAUGCGUGAGGGAUGGUUGUUGAGUGUGUUUCCCUGACUAUAUAUGCCUUGAGAUAUUUCCAUGAGGAGGCAAUCAAUCCCUGGCAUCACGCCUCAUCAUUGGGCUCUUUGUAUUGUGGAGGAGGCUAAUAUGAUGUAUGAAGCGCCUACCACAUGGACAUAUGCUGCUUCUACCACAAUGAUGUAUUUGCCUCUACUGUGGGGGAUAGAUAUCCCCUGGGUCCACUAAAGAAGUAAAAGGCCUCACGAAAGGCCCAAGGGCCCAAUAAUUCGUAAGGUCAUUCUUUCGUGGGCCUAGGGAAAGACAACCGACAAAGAAGAGAAGACGUGAGACUGGAUUGGUGCAAACCCGGACGGCCCACAACGUCGAACGAAUAAAUCGCAACAGAGACCCGACUUUCCCGCGCUGAAGCCCCCAUGCAGCGGAGCCAUGCGAGGAUAAGUCGGCGAGGGUUACGUAGGGAUAAGCUCAAGAGGUUCACUAUCUUUUAGCUACUUGACGUUAUCAUAUCACAUGUACUGCCCCACGGUCGAGUAUAUAAGGCCUAGGGGGCACCCCUUCAGAUCGAUCGACCCUACUUUACUUAGCCACCCAUGUAAACUCUCUGUGCUUUCAACUCAGAGAGUCCUCCUGUAACCAUACUCGAACACUCAUCAGGACAUAGGGUGUUACGCAUCUCUAAGCGGCCCGAACCUGCAAAUCUUGUCCAUUGUCCCUCGUGCGAUCGGCACGAACCAUUU